UACGAAGGGGGCUAGCGUUGUUCGGAAUUACUGGGCGUAAAGGGUGCGUAGGCGGCGGAGUAAGUUGGGUGUGAAAUCCCGGGGCUCAACCUCGGAAUUGCAUUCAAUACUGCUUCGCUCGAGUACUGGAGAGGAGACUGGAAUUUACGGUGUAGCAGUGAAAUGCGUAGAUAUCGUAAGGAAGGCCGGUGGCGAAAGCGAGUCUCUGGACAGUUACUGACGCUGAUGCACGAAGGCCAGGGGAGCAAACGGG
rnacentral:rRNA from 1 species